rnacentral:rRNA from 1 species
GACGAACGCUGGCGGCGUGCUUAACACAUGCAAGUCGUGCGGUAAGGCCCUUUCGGGGGUACACGAGCGGCGGACGGGUGAGUAACACGUGAGCAACCUGCCCUUCCCUUUGGGAUAACUGCCGGAAACGGUGGCUAAUACCGGAUAUGACUUCCUCACGCAUGUGGGGUGGUGGAAAGCCAUCGGGGGGUGUGGGAUGAGCUCUCGGUCUAUCAGCUGGGUGUUGGGGUGAUGGCCUACCAAGGCAUCGACGGGUAGCCGACCCGUGAGGGUGACCCGCCACACGGGAACGGAGACACCGUCCAGAGUCCUAAGGGAGGCACCAGCAGGGAAUGUUGGGCAAUGGGCGAAAGCUUGGACGAGCGAUGCCGCGUGAGUGACGAAGGUCUUCGGAGCGGAAAACGCUGUUAUUGGGGAAGAACAAAUGUGUAAGGAACCAUGCACGUCGUGACGGUACCGAAUAAGAAAGCCCCGGCUAACUACGUG